rnacentral:ncRNA from 12 species
CUCUUCCAGGUCUGUGGUUGCGGAGGCACCGAUCUGCCUCCUAGUCCAUGACAGACGAGGUCAAAGGGAUCCACGUAAGCCAGCGUGUGGGCAUGCUGGCGAUCAUGGCUCGUCCUAGAAGCAAGUCGCACUGCCUGAUCGGCUUUGGGGCAAAGAGCCCCACAGGCAAGAGGGCUUUGAGUGGGGGUGCCUGAGCAUCCGAAGCGGAGGCCCCGGUGCGCGGGUGUGGGGCCAAAGACCAGGUCAGCUGGAAGAG